ensembl:lncRNA
UUUUAGGAUUAGGGACUCAGGGAGGAUGAUUUGUCUCUGUUGAUUGCUUGUACUAAAUCAGUGUGAAAAGAGAAAGGGGAUGGUCAUUUUUGGUCGUGUGGAUGGAGAAGUUAAUAUGCGAAUGUGUGCUUUGUGAUGUCAAGGACUUCCGUGCUCAAUGCUGUCUCUCCGGCACCUGGAAAAAUGCGUGUACUGUAGCCACACUCAAUAUUUGUUGACUGAAUGAAUCCAUGAAGGGGUAUUUAAAUUAAUUUCUAUUUCUUGGCAGUUAAAGGGAUUGGAGCCACAGAACGUGUGAUAUCAUCAGAAGAAAACUCAGAACAUGGAGCAUGACUCGGAACAGGGGAGCCAUCGUGGGAGGUUCCUUGCCCGACGAUCACACAGUGGAUUGAGAAAGAAAAGAGGAGAAGUGACAGGAAAGAAGAGGCCCCAAAGGAGAUGCUGGGAGGAACUCAGUGGAUAAGCUCUCCAUUUGGCAAGUUUGCCGUGUGCUGCCCUUCUGUGUAAACCCAGCCAGGGAAAGCACCCCCAAAAGCCAGCUGCCAGGGGAGCCUGAGAAAACAGAGGCUGGAGAUAAGAGAAGACUUGGGGCCUUUUACAGCAAGUGCAAACUUUCACACCUGUCAGCAAUAAAUCAAGAGGUUUAUGGGGCUGCAAUAUUUACACUCUAAUUAAAAAAUCAUAAAGCAAGCACCCUUUCAGGUUGUGGAAAACAAAACUACAAAACUUCUACAGCAGCGGCGGUUAAUCAGUGACUCUUAAUGAUCUGCUGCCCAGUACCAACAUGGGGCAUUUAUUCAGCCGCAAACAGCAAACAAGACAGCAGGAGAAGGUGGGACUGGCACCAGAGAUCAGCCUUCGCAGGUGGCCAUGACUUGUGUUUCUGAACCUGUCCAGAGCCGGAGAUGACUGCAGAGAUCUCCUCUGGAGCACUCAGUCUUGAUUUCCAGCCUGACUCCACCAUCUACUGGCCGUGCAACUUUGGCCCCAGUACUGGUGAAUGCUGGCAAAUGGCAAAGAAAGAAAGAAGGAAUCUGAAACCCUGCUGACCUCAUGGAGCAGAGCUGUCUACUGGCUCCAGACUGCCCGCCUACAACUGGACAGAGAAAUAAAUACACUGCUGUCUUGUUUGAAUCACUCUAUAUUUCAGCCUCUUUAUUACAACAGCUUAGCUUUAUACCCUAAUAUAUACCUUCCUCUUUCCGGUCUCCAUAUCUUUGUUUCUGCCAUUCUUUCUUCAGGAAAUGUCCUUAACUAUCUAGUGACCAUCUACUUACAUUUGUAGGUCCAGAUCAGGCGAUUCUCCCUCGACUCUGCCAUGUGAGUGCAGAAUUUUUCACAGCUUUGUCUGUGCUCUUAUUAAGUUCUUAUCACAGUGGAUUGUGCAGAGCGUGCUGUGUAAUGUCUUUGCGGUUAGGCUGUUGGGUUUCUCAAGAUGAAGGGAGAUGUCCUUCUAUACCAGAACCUGGGCCCUCCAUAAAUAUUUGUUGGAAG